UACGUAGGGUGCAAGCGUUUAAUCGGAAUUACUGGGCGUAAAGCGUGCGCAGGCGGUUUUGUAAGUCUGUCGUGAAAUCCCCCGGGCUCAACCUGGGAAUGGCGAUGGAGACUGCAAGGCUAGAAUCUGGCAGAGGGGGGGUAGAAUUCCACGUGUAGCAGUGAAAUGCGUAGAUAUGUGGAGGAACACCGAUGGCGAAGGCAGCCCCCCUGGGCUAAGAUUGACGCUCAUGCACGAAAGCGUGGGGGAGCAAACAGG
rnacentral:rRNA from 1 species